rnacentral:rRNA from 1 species
AUGAACCCAUACUACAGUGGUGAUUCAUUUCUACCAACAAUUAGUGCCGUUAUCCACAACUUCAAGGUUUUGUUUGCUGCUACAUACGAAAAUUCUAGUUCUUUCAGCAUACGAAAUUUCGAAUCAAGAUUUGUACCAGCUCCCAAAGUCAAUUUCAGGUAUGACCCGGGAGUUUUCCUUCUUCAGUAUGUUAGCAAGUACAAAGGUCUCGGUUUGGAAGGUUUCUCUAAUGGUCUCAUUAAUAUUGUCACCAUCAAGGGAAGUUGCACUGCAAGAUUGAACUCAAAGGAAUACUUCGAUGCGAAAAAUGUUUCCUUAACGAUAGAGCUAUCUUUUUUUUCUCUUAAUGGUCUAGUGAUAGUUUCUUUCCAAGAAAUUUGGGUGUAA